rnacentral:rRNA from 1 species
CUUGGUCAUUUAGAGGAGUAAAAGUCGUAACAAGGUUUCCGUAGGUGAACCUGCGGAAGGAUCAUUAUCGAAAUUAUUGGUGAGGGUUGUAGCUGGCCUUUCGAGGCAUGUGCACGCUCGAGCCCUUAAUCCACUUUACACCUGUGCACUUAAUGUAGGUCGCCCUUAAAAAAGGUGACCUAUGUCUUAUCAUCAACCCAUCGUAUGUCUCAUAGAAUGUAAUCGAUAUCCUCGCCCUAAAAAAGCGUUGAUAAACUUAUACAACUUUCAACAACGGAUCUCUUGGCUCUCGCAUCGAUGAAGAACGCAGCGAAAUGCGAUAAGUAAUGUGAAUUGCAGAUUUUCAGUGAAUCAUCGAAUCUUUGAACGCACCUUGCGCUCCUUGGUAUUCCGAGGAGCAUGCCUGUUUGAGUGUCAUUAAAUUCUCAACUCCAAGGGUUUCACGACCUUUCGGAGAUUGGACUUGGAGGUGCUGGCCGCAUAUUGGUCGGCUCCUCUCAAAUGCAUCAGCGGAAUUCAACCUUUGGCUUCCGGAUGUCAGUGUGAUAAUCAUGUUGCGCUGUCGUUUGAUCCCUCAGAGUCCGCUUAUAAUGGUCUUCGGACAAAAUCAUCAUCAAAUUUGACCUCAAAUCAGGUAGGACUACCCGCUGAACUUAAGCAUAUCAAUAAGCGGAGGA